AGUGAACGCUGGCGGUAGGCCUAACACAUGCAAGUCGAACGGCAGCACAGUAAGAGCUUGCUCUUACGGGUGGCGAGUGGCGGACGGGUGAGGAAUACAUCGGAAUCUACUUUUUCGUGGGGGAUAACGUAGGGAAACUUACGCUAAUACCGCAUACGACCUACGGGUGAAAGCAGGGGAUCUUCGGACCUCGCGCGAUUGAAUGAGCCGAUGUCGGAUUGGCUAGUUGGCGGGGUAAAGGCCCACCAAGGCGACGAUCCGUAGCUGGUCUGAGAGGAUGAUCAGCCACACUGGAACUGAGACACGGUCCAGACUCCUACGGGAGGCAGCAGUGGGGAAUAUUGGACAAUGGGCGCAAGCCUGAUCCAGCCAUACCGCGUGGGUGAAGAAGGCCUUCGGGUUGUAAAGCCCUUUUGUUGGGAAAGAAAAGCAGCAGGUUAAUACCCCGCUGUUCUGACGGUACCCAAAGAAUAAGCACCGGCUAACUUCGUG
rnacentral:rRNA from 1 species